ACCUGAGGACAUCUAUAAAAGCAAGUGGCUCCGCCUCCGUCGUCCUCUUUCUUUCCGCGUUCGGGAGAAGAAGUCGCCAUGGGUGAAAACAUCAAAACUACACUAGUGAUAAAGGGCGUGACAAAGGGUUCCAUGCUUGCAGAAUGGGUCUGCUUUUUACAGCAAGACUUCUGUGUAACUUGAACACCUGCUAUGCUACAGAUUGCAAAAUGUCUAUAAACAGAUCUACAUGACUCAUUUGGAUGGGUGAACCAUGAAGCAAAGAAAGAUCUAGAAUCAACUUUGAAACACUGUAUUCAGAACUACUUUUAAUGGUAAGUCAUUACAGAGAUUGGCCUCAGUAAAACGUAUUUCCUAGAGAUACUAUAAUAGUGAUAUUCUGACAAAAUAAAGUUACAUAGACGAUUGUGAAUGGCCAGCAAUUCCCAGCAAGAUUUUAACUGAUCAAGGCAAUUGAUAUAAGAUUAAAAUCAGAUUUUAAAAUCAGACAUAUAAAUGAAAGGAACUGAAUGGAGAGAGAAUGCAGAAGUUUGUCUGACAUGAUCUUAACCAUCUUGAGUCCCUUGGGGAGAUAGGUGUGGGAUAUAAAGUUUUUUAGUAUCUAUAAUUUGUCUAGCAAUGUAGCAAUGAAGUAUUUCUUUGUUUCUUGCUGAAGUUCAUUUAGCUUGCGUAUCUACUUCUGCCAUUUCUGCUCUAGAAAUACUUUACUCGCAACAUAGAAGUCUUUAAACAAUACAGUGAUAAUUUCGUGGAUUGUGUAACUGUCACUUUGGAUGAACUUCAUUUGCAGCAUUAGAAUCAAUUCAGCAGGGUUUAAAAUGAUGAUUAAAUGUCUGACCUGAAGUCACAUGUGGAUUCAUUGCACUGAAAACCCUGUACAGGCCUGGGGUUUUUACACAGUGAAUAGCUUGCUUAUCGAUGUGGAUAUGAAAUGAGUAACGGAGGUCUUUAAUUCUCACUUAGGUCCAGACUGGAACUGCCAAGCUGGGUAAGAGCCUAUUUUUGACUUUUGUCUCACAAGAGUGACUUGUCCAUUGCUUACUACGACUUGUAACCAAUGAUGAAAUUGAAUUCCGCCAUAUGAAUCCUUGUGAAAUUAACACAAUUCCGUUCCAUUUACUGAGGUUACCUUGCUUAGCUGUCACUACAGUUAGGAUAGGGAAUAGUGAUUUGCUUUCUAAGUCAUCACUUGCUAUUAUGGAAGUAUGCUGGAGUGUGAAUAAUUCUGUAAUAUCAAUUUAAGGGAAGGCAACUGGUAUCUAAUCCAUUUAAGUUUGAGCCUCCUUGUGGAAAGAAAAAGUGAGAUAUAAAUAAACAUAAUAAUUAACUAACAUCUGCUUUUUUAAAUGUAAACGUAAACCGGUUCUUGGUAGGAAAUGUGUUGCCUAUCCAGUUUUGAAGUAUCUGUUUAUGCUGCUUGAAUUUUUAAAAAAGAACUUAUGUUGCAUUUCUAUAACAUCUUUUUCUCUCUUUAAAUUACUAAUAGGCAACAAGUCUCUCGUGUUGAUUAAUCUGUUGAAAGGUUAGUAAGAUAUGCAAUCCUGCAUAUUUUCUGUCAUGUUGGGGAGCCUCUAGACCAGUGAUAUUUUUGUUUGUUACCUUUGUGGACUUGCUUCAGAAAAUGAGGACGAAAAAUGCUGAAUUAAAUGUAGAAACUAGAGCACAUACUUUGGAAGAACUUCCUAGUUUACAUGGUUGGUGAUUGCUAGAACCUACUGGCAUUUAAAGUACGUUGUAUUGCAAUAGGUUCAUCAGUCAAUAGCCCCACCCUGCCUGCAAUAAAAUACCCCAGAAAAAAAGCCAAUGAUGUUUUUAAGAGUAGUGGACAGAAGAGAUUUCUGACAUAUAUUGCCUGAGGCUUUUGUAAAAAAAAUUAAUGGUGCCUAUAGUUGGGCAGAGAACUGUUGGUGACUCUGUAGGGACAUGCUCUAGUAUCAUGACUGAUUGAAUCCAUCAUUGCUUUUAAUGUAAGCUGCAUUGAGUCUCCUUGUGGAGAAAAAACCAGGGUAUAAAUCAACAUAAUAAAAUAAUAAUGGAAUAUACUAACAACGUCCUUGCAGAUGGCCAAUUCUCUCACACCAGAAGCGACUUGCAGUUUCUCAAGUCGCUCCUGACACAACAAAAAAAAAUGUGCUAAAUAUAGAAAUUGCCAUAAAACUCAAGGCAAUUGUGCCAUCAUGCACAUACCCACUCAGAAGGCUGCUGCGAGUAUAGAUAAGAAUUCAAAAUUUUGGUUGGAUGAUAUAUUAAUUAGGGCCUUUUUUCGUUUUAGUGGAAACUAAUUGAGAGAAGCUGGUCUUCCCUUCCAAAUUAGGUGAGUGGAUCUCCAAAUAAAAUCCAGA